rnacentral:misc_RNA from 1 species
GAUGAAGAACGCAGCGAAAUGCGAUAAGUAGUGUGAAUUGCAGAAUUCAGUGAAUCAUCGAAUCUUUGAACGCACAUUGCGCCUCCUGGUAUUCCGGGAGGCAUGCCUGUUCGAGCGUCAUUAAAAUCACUCAAGCUUAGGUUUACCUAUUGCUUGGUCUUGGAGAUGGAAGCCAAUUCAUUGGAAUCCUCUUCGAAAUCCAAUGGCGAAGACCCUUGCUCUCCCAAGUGUAGUAAUAACUUAUGUCACUGAAGGAAGCGAGAAAUCUUCCGCCGUAACCCCCAUAUUUUCUAUGAUUGACCUCGGAUCAGGUAGGGAUACCCGCUGAACUUAAGCAUAUCAAUAAGCGGAGGA